rnacentral:rRNA from 1 species
CGUCUAGCAUGCAGUCGAGCGGCAAGCACUAGCAAUAGUGCCUAGAGCGGCGGACUGGUGAGUAACGCGUGGGUGACCUACCUUUAGGAUGGGGAUAGCCAUUAGAAAUAGUGGAUAAUACCGAAUAAGGUUAUCUAGUUAUGACUAGAUAAGGAAAGGGGCGAUAGCUUCGCCUGAAGAUGGGCUCGCGUCCCAUUAGCUAGUUGGUAAGGUAAAGGCUUACCAAGGCGAAGAUGGGUAGCCGGCCUGAGAGGGUGAACGGCCACACUGGGACUGAGAUACGGCCCAGACUCCUACGGGAGGCAGCAGCUAAGAAUAUUCCGCAAUGGUCGAAAGACUGACGGAGCGACGCCGCGUGGAUGAAGAAGGCCGAAAGGUUGUAAAAUUCUUUUGCCAGUGAAGAAUAAGCCUAACAGGGAAUGGUUGGGUGAUGACGUUAGCUGGUGAAUAAGCCCCGGCUAAUUACGUGCCAGCAGCCGCGGUAACACGUAAGGGGCGAGCGUUGUUCGGAAUUAUUGGGCGUAAAGGGCACGUAGGCGGUUAUGUAAGCCUGGCGUGAAAUGGUAGGGCUUAACCCUAUCACUGCGUUGGGAACUGUGUAACUAGAGUCAUGGAGGGGGAGUUGGAAUUCCUAGUGUAGGGGUGAAAUCUGUAGAUAUUAGGAAGAACACCGGUGGCGAAGGCGAACUUCUAGCCGAUGACUGACGCUGAGGUGCGAAAGUGCGGGGAGCAAACAGGAUUAGAUACCCUGGUAGUCCGCACUAUAAACGAUGUACACUAGGUGUUGGGCCGUGCGGUCAGUGCCGAAGCGAACGUGAUAAGUGUACGCCUGGGGAGUAUGCCCGCAGGUGAACUCAAAGGAUGACGGGGCCCGCACAG